rnacentral:rRNA from 1 species
GUGGCAGCCGCCGCGGUAAUACGUAGGGUGCAAGCGUUAAUCGGAAUUACUGGGCGUAAAGCGAGCGCAGGCGGUUUUGUAAGUCAGAUGUGAAAGCCCCGGGCUCAACCUGGGAACUGCGUUUGAAACUACAAGGCUAGAGUAUGGGAGAGGGGGGUAGAAUUCCACGUGUAGCAGUGAAAUGCGUAGAGAUGUGGAGGAAUACCAAUGGCGAAGGCAGCCCCCUGGCCUAAUACUGACGCUCAGGCUCGAAAGCGUGGGGAGCAAACAGGAUUAGAUACCCCUGUAGUC